GUGGGGAAUAUUGGGCAAUGGGCGAAAGCCUGACCCAGCAACGCCGCGUGAAGGAAGAAGGUCUUCGGAUCGUAAACUUCUAUCCUUGGUGAAGAUAAUGACGGUAGCCGAGAAGGAAGCCCCGGCUAACUACGUGCCAGCAGCCGCGGUAAUACGUAGGGGGCAAGCGUUGUCCGGAAUGAUUGGGCGUAAAGGGCGCGUAGGCGGCCUGGUAAGUCUGGAGUGAAAGUCCUGCUUUUAAGGUGGGAAUUGCUUUGGAUACUAUCGUGCUUGAUUGCAGGAGAGGUAAGUGGAAUUCCCGGUGUAGCGGUGAAAUGCGUAGAGAUCGGGAGGAACACCAGUGGCGAAGGCGACUUACUGGACUGUAACUGACGCUGAGGCGCGAAAGUGUGGGGAGCAAACAGGAUUAGAUACCCCUGUAGUCC
rnacentral:rRNA from 1 species